rnacentral:rRNA from 1 species
UGGGGAAUAUUGGACAAUGGGCGCAAGCCUGAUCCAGCCAUGCCGCGUGAGUGAUGACGGCCUUAGGGUUGUAAAGCUCUUUCGUCCGGGACGAUAAUGACGGUACCGGAAGAAGAAGCCCCGGCUAACUUCGUGCCAGCAGCCGCGGUAAUACGAAGGGGGCUAGCGUUGUUCGGAAUCACUGGGCGUAAAGGGCGCGUAGGCGGCUUUGUAAGUCGGGGGUGAAAGCCUGUGGCUCAACCACAGAAUUGCCUUCGAUACUGCGAGGCUUGAGACCGGAAGAGGUUAGUGGAACUGCGAGUGUAGAGGUGAAAUUCGUAGAUAUUCGCAAGAACACCAGUGGCGAAGGCGGCUGACUGGUCCGGUUCUGACGCUGAGGCGCGAAAGCGUGGGGAGCAAACAGG